UCCCUGCAGUCCAUACAUCCCCAGCCCGUGCACCUUCUCAUCCUCCCCUUUAGAUAACACUUAUCUCCUCUGUGAGGUCCUUCUCCUGUGCAGACCUGCAUCCUUAGAAUACAGAGCAGGGGGGAGGGGAAGUGAGGAGCUGUGUACUCAGCUGGAUGAGAUGAGGGGGCGUGCCUUAUUCCUCUCAUGCAGACAGAGAGAAAAAAAGUGCUAUGACAUCUUGUCCACAACAGACUCAGAACUGUGGACAACGGUAAAAGAAAACCCUCUGAACUACAGAACUUCCUGCCCAACAAACAGCUUCUGGAACCUUCACAUACUUCAACAUAUUAGAAAGAAGGUAGAAUUGGUUGAAUAUUCAAAAGGAUUAACUUGAAGACAAAAAGAAAGGUGGCACAAUGGUGAUAACCACUUUACCUGAAGAAAUCUCUGUUGAGCUCGAAGAAAACAAAGUAGAGUUCAGAACCAAUGAGAAUGAACAGCCUGAUAAGAGCACUAUGGAUCCAUAUUUGAUCAGCACUACAACUGGAGGGAUGGAAAACUCCUGCCACAGCUGCCUGCUGGGUUUAGGAAUGGUCACCCUGAUAAUUGGCAUAUCAACAACAGGAUUAUCAUAUGCAAGCCAAACGCGUGAUAUAAUCCUAUCAAUUAUUGGGCACUCAAUUCUGGCCCUAGGCAUUAUAUCUAUCUUAUUUAGUUGUAUAUGGCGCUACUAUAGGAAAAAAAGAAAGGCAAAGAUAAAUGAGGAUUUAGCAGAAUUAUUCUAUGAAAAUCAGCAGAAGAAAUUUUGCAUAUGAUGAAAGGACACCACACAAUGCUAUGAAUAUAUCCAAGCCUCAGCUUGACCUUCUAUACGGCUCAGCUUAUGUUAACCUUGAAUGCGUCAUGUCAGUCAGCUGAAACAGAUCUCUGCAUCAGAUAUGAAUUAUUAACUGUCUAUGGGAACUUGAGUUCAGUGUAAAUGGUUCAGUCAAAUAUUUCUGUUCAAAUAAAACAAAUACAUUCUUUUGUAUAUAAGAUUUACUUAAAUGUUAUUCUAAUGUUGUAAAAUGUGUUUAUUGUAUUAUGUGUAUUUAUAGAAUGGAAUCCACAUAA